rnacentral:rRNA from 1 species
CCUCGGUUAGACUGAAGAGGAAGUUAGAAAUGUUUGGUUUGUAGUUCAGUUGGUUUCUUUUAGUAUUUUAUGUUUUAAUCGGGGGUAAAAUCUUUAAUUAAAAAUAUAACUUAUGUUGGAAGAUAUUGAAGCUAUUAAAUUUUAAAUAGAAACUGGGAUUAGAUACCCCAUUAUUUUAAAAAGAGAAACCAAUACUUGACUAGUAUUUGUUAUGUGCUUGAAAUUUAGAGAAUUUGGCGGUAUUUAAACCUAGUUAGAGGAACCUGCUUCUUAAAACGACAAACCACGAAUUAUCUUAUUUCUUUUUGUUUUCAGUUUGUAUACCGCCAUCAUUAAAAAAGUAAAAUUAAUAAAUUCUACUAAAAAAUAAAAGUUUUAUGAGAAAUUAGGUCAAGGUGCAGCUUAUGAAGAAAUUGACUGUGGGUUACAUUUUUAUUUUAAAUUCGGAAGAAAACUUGAAAUUGCUUUUGAAAGUUGGAUUUAAUUGUAAUUUUUAUUUAAUAUGUAAAAAUGAUAUUAGCUCUUAAAUAUGUACAAAUUGCCCGUCGCUCUCAUAUUAAGCUGAGAUAAGUC